rfam:Ricinus communis cultivar Hale ctg_1100012294463, whole genome shotgun sequence.
GUAUCCAUGGCGUUGGCACUGGAAUAUAAGUGAUUUAAAGCGAUCCUAUGCUUCAUGAAAGAAUUAAGUAUCCUUUUGAUAAAAAUUUAAAAUUUCAGCUUUUAAUUC